rnacentral:rRNA from 1 species
CCUACGGGAGGCUGCAGUCGAGAAUCAUUCACAAUGGGGGAAACCCUGAUGGUGCGACGCCGCGUGGGGGAAUGAAGGUCUUCGGAUUGUAAACCCCUGUCAUGUGGGAGCAAAUUAAAAAGAUAGUACCACAAGAGGAAGAGACGGCUAACUCUGUGCCAACAGCCGCGGUACUACAGAGGUCUCAAGCGUUGUUCGGAAUCCCUGGGCGUAAAGCGUGCGUAGGCUGUUUCGUAAGUCGUGUGUGAAAGACGCGGGCUCAACCCGCGGACGGCACAUGAUACUGCGAGACUAGAGUAAUGGAGGGGGAACCGGAAGUCUCGGUGUAGCAGUGAAAUGCGUAGAUAUCGAGAGGAACACUCGUGGCGAAGGCGGGUUCCUGGACAUUAACUGACGCUGAGGCACGAAGGCCAGGGGAGCGAAAGGGAUUAGAUACCCCGGUAGUC